UCCAGACUCCUACGGGAGGCAGCAGUGGGGGAUAUUGCACAAUGGGGGGAACCCUGAUGCAGCGACACCGCGUGGGUGAAGGAGCGUUUCGGCGCGUAAAGCCCUAUCGGCAGGGAAGAAGGAGGACGGUACCUGACUAAGAAGCCCCGGCUAACUACGUGCCAGCAGCCGCGGUAAUACGUAGGGGGCAAGCGUUAUCCGGAUUUACUGGGUGUAAAGGGGGCGCAGACGGCAGCGCAAGCCAGGAGUGAAAGCCCGGGGCCCAACCCCGGGACUGCUCUUGGAACUGCGCGGCUGGAGUGCAGGAGGGGCAGGCGGAAUUCCUGGUGUAGCGGUGAAAUGCGUAGAUAUCAGGAGGAACACCGGUGGCGAAGGCGGCCUGCUGGACUGCGACUGACGUUGAGGCCCGAAAGCGUGGGGAGCAAACAGGAUUAGAUACCCCCGUAUG
rnacentral:rRNA from 1 species